UACCAGCACCCCGAGCGGUCGGGACGUUUAUUGGGCCUAAAGCGUCCGUAGCCGGUUCUACAAGUCUUCCGUUAAAUCCAACUGCUUAACAGGUGGGCUGCGGAAGAUACUAUAGAGCUAGGAGGCGGGAGAGGCAAGCGGUACUCGAUGGGUAGGGGUAAAAUCCGUUGAUCCAUUGAAGACCACCAGUGGCGAAGGCGGCUUGCCAGAACGCGCUCGACGGUGAGGGAUGAAAGCUGGGGGAGCAAACCGG
rnacentral:rRNA from 1 species